CAGACCCGUUUCUCAUUUGAGUUUGGGCUUUUGACUUCAAUGUGAGCCCAAGGCAGCUAGCAACAUAAGCUGUGAAGUACGGAAACGUAACAGCGCGCGGGAGGAAAUGCUUAUCGGUAGCAACUUGCAUUUUUCUCGGUGGACUUUCUUCAAACACCUUACGACACGGAAAUUCACACCACCACUCUGUCAGCACAAAUCCCUCGCCACUCUCUCCCACUUCGGAACGCUAAAUUCCCGCCAGAAGGACCAGGUUCAUCUCUACGUCCACACUCUUCUUCAAUGGAACAAGCGCAUGAAUCUCACCGCAGUUAGAGAUGUGAACGAAGCCAUGGAAAGGCACGUGGAGGACUCCCUCUCCAUUUUGCCUCCGUUGAGCGAUUGUUACCGCUCGCACUGCGGCGCUUCGUGCGAUAAGCUGAGCCUCGUCGAUGUCGGAACUGGCGCUGGCCUUCCCGGAGUAGUUUUGGCCAUAGCUCGCCCAGAGUGGGAUGUAACGCUGCUGGAGUCUAUGAACAAGCGCUGCGUCUUUUUGGAGCACGUUGUCAGUGUUAUCGGAUCCUCGAACAUUCAAAUUGUAAAAGGAAGAGCUGAGAGUUUGGGGCAGAAUCCUUGCUUCAGAGAGCAAUUUGACGUAGCAGUGGCCAGGGCAGUUGCAGAAAUGAGAAUAUUAGCUGAAUAUUGUCUUCCUUUGGUUCGUGUUGGUGGAUUGUUUAUUGCUGCCAAGGGUCAUGAUCCUCAGGAUGAAAUUAAGAAAGCAGAAAGGGCCAUCCAGAAGGUGGGAGCAUCUCUAUUGCAAGUUUGCUCAGGUCAUUCCUAUCAUGUGCCCUACACUGACCCUUAGAAUCUAAUAUUGCACACAUUAGAAGAUUCUCCUACACGAUCUUAUUAUGGUGGAAUCGCAAAGCCCAUAUGGUCAACGAACUGCUGUCAUAUGUUUAAAGGAUCGUCCUACCCCGAUGAAAUAUCCCCGUGAUCCAGGUACACCAGCUAAAGAGCCAUUGUAACUAAGAUGAUGCUAAUUCUGUUGGCUUAUUUAUUUAUUUAAUUUUCUAGCCAUUCCUAUUACUCUUCUUGAACCAACAUGAAACGUUUUGCUAGAGUGGCCUGCUGUGUACAACAAUGUAAAUGUGCACCACUGUUUAGAUUUUUAGUUCAUAUAGAACAAGCUUUGAUAAUUUCUGUUGUUACGACGUUGUUCAGAAUUUAUCUUCCAAUGAUGCAACUUUACCUGAAUAUAAUGCGAAGGCUUUACAAUAUUUUAUGCCUUUGUAUAGUAUAGAUAACGA